rnacentral:lncRNA from 1 species
GCCGUUUCGCCGGAGAAGAUGGUAGUGUUUGAGAACGGCGAAAAACGACGCGGACAUGGGCCAAAACGACGCCACGGGAAUGUUUCUAGCGUUGGCGACGCGAACCACCCAGUAGAGGAAAGUGUCGUAUAUGAUUACUGUGGGUGGAAGGUGAAGACGGUUGAGAAAGUCUUCAAAGGGCGCUUCCAUUUUGGUCAUAACGGCUUCAAAGAAGGUGACGUAGUCGUUGGCUCGACCCUCUUCGGAGGGAAUAACGUUGGGGAUUGUGGCAAAUCGGAGGUUGUCGGGUUUGGAGUCGGAGUCGAUGAAGCCGAGCCAUUCUUCGGUGACGACGAAGGUUACCAGGAUUUGAGAGUUUUUGGAGAGGAGCAACUUGCAGAGGUUCAUCAUGGGAUUCACGUGACCUCGUCCUGGGUACGGCACCGCUACCACGUGGCAGACCAUGGUUGGUGGUAGUUGAACCGGAUGCCCCAUAGAUAUAAGAACAGUGCAACAAGCAGAGUAUGGAAAAAUGUGAACAGAGCACGUCACUUUUCAAUGAUCACUGCACACUCCUCUGCAAUGAUCACUGCACCCACCUCUGCAAUGUUCAGAUACAAGUCUUCAAUGUUCUUUGUUGAGUCAUAGUCUCUUUUAUACUCCACAACGAGUAUUAAAACACUAACUUUUUUGGUUUUUUUUUUUACAUUUGGUGUAAUUUUAUACAUAAAUUAUCCGGUAAAUUUUAAAAAAUUAAUUGAUAUGGGUAACUCAUGUUUGUAUGAUUCCAUUUCUUAUAACUAGUUAAGUGUAAGAAAUAAGAAAAAACAAUUGUUGAUAAGUUGAAAAUCUUGCAUUAUAUUAUAAUUAGAGAGAAGAAUUUUUUAUUAAAUGAAAUUAUUUUAGAAUUAUAUUGUAUUACAUCCAGUUAUAAAUUCUGCUGAUAUAUGUAUAUGGUGCAAUUAUCUAAGACAACAUUUUAUAAAAAAAAAUUGUGCGCAGGAAAUAUAAGUACCGAGAAAAAUAGUAUUAGAGUAGAAAUGAUACAGGAAAUAUAAGGAUCGAGAAAAAUAGUAUUAGAGUAGAAAUGAUACAUGGUACCUGAAUAUUUUAUUAUUAAAGUGAAAAGGCUAUAUAAAUAGAAAUUUAGUUAUUCAGGUUUCAUUUUAAAAAGAACUAUCAUCUCUAAAAACUCCUUUUUCCUUUCCUCUACCUUCUCUCUAAAAUCUCAACCUCCUCGUUCAUCUGUUUGACGAUCGGAGUCCACCAUUGGACUCUUGGCAGCGAGAUCUACAAUAUUGACCGUUCAGAAUCUUUCAUAGAGUAUGUUCAUUUUUUGUUCCCUUUUUCCUUUCCUCUCCCUUCUCUCUUGGAUUUUGACCUCCUCUUUCGUCAAUUUGAUGAUCAGAGUCUGCCAUUGGACUCCUGGCAGCGAACUCUACAAGAUUGACCGAUCAAAAUCUUAAAUAGAGUAAGUUCAUUCUUGGCUCUUUUUCCUUUGAGUUAGUUUUGAUCUGGUUGGGUUGCCUUUUAAUUUAAGUUUGCAUGUGAGGUUUUUAUCUUCAGAACUAGUCUCUGUUAGCUUAGGGUCCUAGUGAUGUAGUUAGAUUUGUGAUCAGGACUCUGUGGUGCAGGUUAGGGUCUUUUGGUGGGUUUGGAGCUCUUAGUGAGCAUCUGCUAAAGUCUAGGUAAAGGAAGCUAGUUUAAAAUCUUCAAUAGAACCCUACGUUAGAAGAUUUGAAUGUGUGAGUGUGACGUGAUCACCAAUUCCAAAUUUUGUUGCAAGAUUUCUUGUUUUGAGUAGAUUGUAGUUUGAUUGAAAUUGAAAGUGUUGUGAUUGAGAAUUUUUUGAUUUAAAUGGUUGUAGAAUUAGAAAUCAUAUAUAUAUAUAUGUAUAAAUGGAGAUAAUAACUCAAUGAUUCAAUGAGAGUGACUGUAUCAUGUUGAACAGGAACUACCAAUGUAAUAUGUAGAUUUAUAAUUUAUGAAUCGAAUGAGAUGUUGAUUUAUAAUCUGAUAGGUAUAUUAAGUUAUGCAGAAUUUUUCUGCAUAUUUCGCCCAAGCUAGCAAGUUCUAGCUCAAGCUAGAAAAUUAUGGGUGCUCCCUAGAGGAUUUUAGCUCAAGCUAGCGAAUUUUAGCUCAAGCUAAAAUUCUGGGUGCUCUGAGGAUUUUAGCUCAAGCUAGCGAAUUCUAGCUCAAGCUAAAAUUCUGGGUGCUCUCUGGAGGAUUUUAGCCCAAGUUAGCGAAUUUUAGCUCAAGCUAAAAUUCUGGGUGCUCUCUGGUGGAUUUUAGCUCAAGAUAGCGAAUUUUAGCUCAAGCUAAAGUCUAAAAUAAUAAUAAUAAUAAUAAUAAAUAAAUAAAAAUAAAAUAUAUUAAACUAAUUUUUAUUUGCUUUUAAAAGAUUGAUUGAUUUAUUUAUAUAUAGUUUUUCUUAUAAAGUAUGUAAACUGUUAUUUCAUGUAUAGUUAAUUGAAAAUCUCUUUAAUUAGACAUUUAUAUGAUUAGUCAAUGAAUUGUUGUGUAUUUUGGAAAUUUUAAACAUUGGUAUGAUUUGAUUGUUUGAUGGUGGAUAUUUUGAGGUUUAAAAUAUGAAUUCUAAUCAAGACAUAGUAUUUUCAGGAAAGAAAAUACCGUGUUAAGAUUGUUUAGGAUGUGCAUUGACUAGAGAUUCGUCUAGAAGGAGAUAUCCUGACUCUCCUGAUAUAAUGGAAUCAUAUAGAUGAAGUUAUUCAGGUGGUGAGGGUCGAAAGAGGUUCAUAUGAAUAGGUAAGUUGUUUGAAAGAUAAUUAACUUGACCUGUUAUAUGAAUUAACCCUGUCAUACUAGGAGAGAGAUGAUAUUGAGAUUAAUUAUGCGCAUAGCUGUGUGGAUUUCACAGUGAUGUAGUAUGACAGGUGCAGAUCUCUGAGUUUAAGUCAACGCACGAGUCUUUCGGAAGUAGAGUCAAGUGUCUAUGUGUUAUGAGUCAGUAGAAGUCUGACAUGAGAAAGAUGAAUAUUGCAAUUGUUGAUAGGCACUUGAUGGUUAUGUGAAAUGCAUGAGAAAUGAUGAAUUUAUGUGGAUGUUUAAACUCAUAUUUGUGUUAUAAGUUUUAAAAAUACCUAGCUUACCCUUUGUUUUGUUUUGUGGUUGUUUUUCUUUGAUCUGUGAUGAUCGUGUAUUUUACACGGGAGCAGAUGAUGUUACAGGUGAUAAAGUUUCUCGGUGAGAAGAUGGAUAAUGGAAAAUGUUUAUUUUUCUUUUAAAAUUUUGUUUUAAAAUUUAUGUAAAUGUUUCAAGUCUUAUGAAGAGAGAGAUAAUUUGAAACAUUAUAAUAAUGAAAUUUUAGAUAUAUUUGUAUUAUGUUUAUAUAUUUAUUUUAAUAUUUCAUACAGAUUAUGGUUAUAGAUAUGAAAAAAAUAUAGGAUGUUACAGGAAAUUCCACUUAUUUUUAUUUUAAUAUUGACACAAUUUUAGUGUAUUAAUUUAAGUAUAUUAUGAUGUAAGUUCAAAGUUAUGCAAAAAUAAUAAAUUUUUAAUAUCAUCUUAUUUGAAUUAAAAUAGUGUGAAGAUAAUAUGAUUUGAGUUGUGCUUUUAUAUUUUAUUGAAGUGGUUUACCAUUUACUCAAAUUUUGCAUGAGAUUUUUUUUUUUAAUUUUGAUUUAUAUUUUUUUAUAUUAUUAUUUAUAUUAAUAUUAAUACACACGUUUUUAGAAAAGUGAUUAAUAUGUUAUUAUUGAUUGUUUAUAUGAAGAUAUUAUUUGUGAAAUUUAAAAAUUAAUAUUGUAUAUUUAUUUAAAAAUAUAAGAUGAAUAAGUAAUUCUAUAAAAAAAUAAUAUAUGUUAAAAAUACAAAAGUUAAUAUAAGAUUUAAGAUUAGGGAUAAUAUGGAAACUAGUUGUUUAAUUUAUGUAGUUAUAUAUUAUUAUUUGUUUGAUUAUUUUGUGGGAUAAUUAGAGGAAAUGAAGCUAUAAAAUAAUAGUACAAAAUAAAAAUAAAAAGAAAAUUAAUAAUAGAAAUUUGAAUUAAAUUUUAUUAUCAAUCAUUUCUACAUGGACAAUAGGUUGUACUAUAAUCUUCUUUCCUACAAUAAAAAUACUUUUUUAUUUAAAAUUAACUCAUCCAUUUUAUCAUGUGGUUCAUGUGACAUCGUCCUGGGUACGGUCCCGCUACCACAUGGCCUGGUUGGUGGGUGGUACUUGAACCGGAUGCGCCAUUGAGAUAAAAAAUUGUUUUAUUUUAAUUAUUUAUAAUUUUUUAAUUUUAAAAAUUAUUUUAACAUUUUAUAUUUUACUUAUAUUUUUGUUUAAAUUUUUUAUUUUUUUAUUAUAAAUAUUAAUAUUUUAAUGUCAAAAUAUCAUUUCUCAUUAAAACAAGAACAGUGAACCAAGCAGAGUAUUAAGUGAUGAGAGAACGUGACUAUUUAAUGAUCAGUGCACCCACCUCUUACCCAAGAAGUUCGCAGACAAGUCUUCAAUGUGCUCUUUUUGUGUCAUAGUCUUUCUUAUACUCCACAGUAUUAAAACACUAAUUUUUUGGAUUUCUUUUUAUACAUAAAUUAUCCUGUAAUUUAUAUAAUAAAGUUGUCUCAUGCAUGAUUUUAAUUUAUAUUAAAUUAUCUUAAAAUCGUGUCAAUCCUACAGGAUUUCAUUUAAAGAAUAUAUAAAAAUAAAAUUAAUCGUAAUCAGUAUAAUUGUUCACACAAUAAAAAAAAACAAACCUAAAGAGCAUCUAAGACAGGAAUGAUACAAAAGACCAAUGUUAAAUGUGUUGCAUCCCAGAGUGGCAUGGAGAAUCUGAAUCAAAUGUAAGUAAUAUUUCACUGUUUCAAACUCUCAUUAUGGUACCCAUUGUUGGGUGAGAAAUAAAAAAAAUUACUGUGUAUAAAGAAGACAUGAAAAUUAAGAGAAUAAAAAGUGAAAAAUAUAUAAAACUGUACCGACCAGGUAGUCGGGAGUGAUGACGUGGCAGCAAGCGAUAAUAUAGGCGUGUUGAAUGGGACACCUGGCUGACAGAAGGGAAGUACAUCGGGAAGUCUGUGUAGUCGCCAAGUGUUGGCUUGGCGUUCUCCGAUCUCUAGUAUAUGUAAACCAGCGGUCACCAACUUGCGUCGUAGUCGCCGUAUGUGAGUUAUGGGAGACCAGGUGGUUGGAGAUCGCCGAGAGGGGCACAUCGCCGAGAGAUCAGGAAGGCUUGCUUAGGGCCUUCAAGGGGUACGAGUACAAAGGACGAGGUUAUCAGAUGAUCAUUCCCUAGCCAGAGGUCGAGGCAAGGGAACAGUUUCCCAGAACAUGCAUGAUGUGCAAGUAAUGCAGAUCGUGAUAGCGGCAGGCGAGACCACAGAGAAGGUAUGCAUGGUGACACCCCAUGCUCGCCACUUAGAAGAGAUCGCGUUCCAAGGAAGCUAUGCACUGAGUUACUCCCUGCUUGGGUAACUUAGUCAAAUAGCUCGAAGAGUAGAGGUGACGCUCAGGUAGAAGGGAGGCUCCAGAUGGUGACACGUGUACAGCUGGAUGCGAGUCACGUGUCCAGAGGUGUAACCGUCAGGAGAGAGAAAAACGCUCAGGUAUAUAAGGAAUUCUAACGGACUUCUGAGGUACGCGCGUUUAGAACACUUCUUUACGCUUGUGAGAACACUUGAGUACGCUGAGAGAGAAUAUUGCAUGGUUCCUUGAGUUUUUAGCUUUUCUCUGAGUAUUUUGGUGAUUCCGUCACUGACUUGAGCGUCGGAGCGCGAUCGGCCGCAGUGGCGCCACUCUGUUUCUUCAGGUUCUUGCGAGGAUUUGAGACUUGAAGGACGGAAGCUAGCAUGGUGCAAAGCCGAUCCAGAAGGAGGUACCUUCGACGUGGCAAGACUCUUGCGCUCUGGUCAACCGGCAGGAUAAAAAACGAAGAGCAUUUUAAACUCAAAUUAUUACUAAUUUUAUUUAAAAUAAAAUUACAUAAUUAAAUAUAAUAUAGUAUGUUACGAAGUGAACUUUAAGCCUAACUCAACCCCAUAAAAUCGGCUCAUAAGAUUGAGGUUUGCACCCAGUUAUAUACAAUGAAAGACUCUAAUCUCUAGUCGAUGUGAGAUCUACAUCACACCCCCUCACGCCGAGGGUGAUAUAUAGAAGCUCGUGCGUGGGAUAACAUAUUAUAGGUGAUGGCCUGAUAAACCAAACAAAUACUCGGUAGGAUAGGAUCAAAAUGACUCUGAUACCAUGUUACGAAAUGGAUUUAAGCCUAACUCAACCUCAUAAUACCCGCUCAUGAGGUUGAGGUUUGCACCCAGUUAUAUAUCAAUUAAAAAAAAUAUAAUUUCAAUCACACUCAUCACAUCGUUCACAACUUUUAUAAACUUUUUUCACACUUUCUACUCUAUUUAUCUUAAUCCAAACACCCUAACUUUCUUCACAUUUUCUCUUCAAAUCAUUUCAAAUCUACUCCCUCAUAUCAACUCCAUGAUCCAAAUAAAAACUAUUGAAGCAUAGAGAAUCUGAAUCAAAUGUUAAUAAUAUUUGACUGUCCCUAUCAAACUCUCAUUAUGGGAGCAUGGAGAAUCUGAAUCAAAUGUUAGUAAUAUUUGACUGCCCUACCAAACUCUCAUUAUGGAAGCAUGGAGAAUCUGAAUCAAAUGUUAGUAAUAUACUGCCCUACCAAACUCUCAUUAUGGGAGCUUCAUGUAUCACACCACUCUCACUUACUAAACCCACAUUAUGGGAGUUUCAUGUAUCAGCCAACUCUCACUUUAGAAUUUUGGCUUCGUAAGAUCAGAAGUGGAAAAAAAUUUUGAUCCUUUUGGUGGGAUUCUUUACUUACAACUGAUUAAUUUUGUAUUGAAUUCAUCAUCAACACUUAGAUUUUUACUUUUUCAAUUACUUAUUUCUAUAAUAUGAUUAAUUCUCUUUUAUGACAUUGUUUUUAUAGAAAUAGAGUUUCAUUUAAUUUUGUUGAAGGUUGUGUUUUUCAUAUCUCAUCUUUAUGCCUGUAAUAUUGCUAUUGUUAUUUACUUUUUACAUAUGGACUUUAAAAUACCAGUGUUUUUUUCUCUUUUGCUUUUUAUAAAACAAUAUCAAUCCUUAGUCAUUCAUUAUACGGAGUACAUUUGCUUCUUCUCAUUUGGUUUUUGCAGAAAAUAUAAGAACUAGCAUGUGGGGAAUCUAAUUAGUGUUCACGGACAUCACUUUUAAAAAGCACACAGUAAAAGUAUGCACGGUCACCUCUUCCGUGAGACUACUUAACAUCCUAAGAUUUAAGAGAGAAACGAUAUUACGAGAAUGUGUGGAAAAAAUUUAUUAAAGUUGGUGAAUGAUGUGAUGAUUGUAAAUAUAUUUUAAUUAUUUUUUAAUGGUAUAAAUUAUAAGAUUACAAAUUUAUCUUUGUGUAUAAAAAAAUAAUUUUGUAUACAUUUUAGUUAGUUAAAAUAAUGUAAAAUUUUAAUUAUAAAUAAAAGAAUACAAGAAUAUAAAAUUAAAAUAAUAAUUAUUAAUAAUAUUAUUAUUUAAUACAUUUAUUUGAUUAUUAUUAAUUUAUUUAAUUUAUAUUUAUUAUCAUUAUUUUAAAAAUUUAUUUUAAUUAACAUUAUUAUUUUAUAAAUUAAUUUUACAUAUUAUUUUUAUUUUAAUAUUUAAACAUUUAUAUUAUUAAUAUUAAUACAAAAUUUACUGUUAUAAAUAUAUAAAUAUUUAUAUUAUAUUAUUAUAAAGCCUAAAAUUUUAAAUCAUGUAUUUUAUUAAUUCUGACUAAUAAGGAAAAAAUAGAUAAAAAAUAUAUGUACACUGCAUGAUUAAUUCAUAAGAAAUUUUAUGAAAAAAAUGAGGGCGUGCAUGUUACCACAUUCUUAAGUGGCUUUCUUACUUGGCUCAAUUCCCUAUCUAGCAUCAUUUACAUCUUUAUUUCCCUAUCUAGCACCCUUUUGUUUUUAUUUCCCUAUCUAACACUCUUUUAUUUUUUAUUUCCCUAUCUAGCACUAUUUUAAAAGUAAAUAAAUAAAUAAUAAAUUAUUUUUUUUAAUAAUUUUAAUUUUGAAUGCAUUAAAAAAUAAAUAUUUUUAAUGUUUAAAAUAAUUUGAAAUAUAAUUAAUGAAUGAAUAAAUAAGUUUUUACAAAAUAAAAAUAAAAAAGUAAUAAAUUAAAAAUGUUUACUUUAAAAUUAUUUUUUUUAAAAAUGAAGAAAAUAAAAAAUUAAACUCUACAACAACAUAAAAGUUGAAUCUAUAAACACAAAUUAGUAUUUAUUUUUAUUAUUAUUGAUGAUGUAAUCAUGUUAAUUUCAAAGUAAAAAAUACAUGACAUAUUUAUAAAAAAGAACAAUGUCAAUUAGUAUUAAUUAAUAGUGGACACAUAAAUAAUAUUGAAGUAUUUACCUAAAUGCAAAAUUCUAAAAAAAACUAAUACAAAUGUUACACUUAAUGCUUAAAAAUGAGAAGAAAAAAAUGCAAAAAUAAAUAAGUCUAGAAAAUAAAAACAACAACAAUAAAAUAAAAACAAAAACCAUAAAUAAAUAAAUAAAGAUUGCAGAAAAAAUAAUAAUAACUAAAAACAUAAAAGGUAUAAAAUAAAGAAAAAACAAAAUAAGAUAAAGAUAAAAGAUAUAAAAAAAAUCAAAUAAAUCAAAACAAGAUAAAUAUAAGAGAUAUAAGACGAUAUUAAAUAAGUAUAUGUUGAUCAUGAAAAGGAAAAUAAAUGAGAGAUGAUCAUUCAUUUAAUANNNNNNNNNNNNNNNNNNNNNNNNNNNNNNNNNNNNNNNNNNNNNNNNNNNNNNNNNNNNNNNNNNNNNNNNNNNNNNNNNNNNNNNNNNNNNNNNNNNNAUUGACUUUGGUUUUUUUUUAUAAAUAUGUCCUGUAUUUUUUACUUGAAAUUAACAUGAUUACAUCAUCAAUAAUAAUAAAAAUAAAUACUAAUUUAUGUUUAUAGAUUCAACUUUUAUGUUGUUGUAGAGUUUAAUUUUUUAUUUUCUUCAUUUUUAAAAAAAAUAAUUUUAAAGUAAACAUUUUUAAUUUAUUACUUUUUUAUUUUUAUUUUGUAAAAACUCAUUUAUUUAUUCAUUAAUUAUAUUUCUAAUUAUUUUAAACAUUAAAAAUAUUUAUUUUUUAAUGCAUUCAAAAUUAAAAUUAUUAAAAAAAUAAUAAUUUAUUAAAAAAAAUCAUUAUUUUUAUUUAUUUUUAAAAUGGUGCUAGAUAGGGAAAUAAAAAAUAAAAGAGUGCUAGAUAGGAAAAUAAAAACAAAAGGGUGCUAGAUAGGGAAAUAAAGUCAAAAGAAUGCUAGAUAGGGAAAUAAAAAUGUAAAUGGUGCUAGAUAGAGAAUUGAGCCUUCUUACUUCUCCCUCAUCUUUCUCCACACUUGUGAGAAGGAACCUUCACCUUCGAGCUAUCUACUUUUCGCCUAUAAUAAAAAAUAAAUUUAGAAUUAAAUGAUAUAAAAAAUAUUAAAAUAAUAAUAGUGGCAACUUAAUGUAAUUGUAUAGAAAUUGUGUGAAGAUAUCGUUACCUUAUUUCAAAAGCUAAGAAUUCAAACCAGUUUUACUUUCGCUGCAUAAAAAAUAUUAUUUUAUAAUUUUAUAUUGCAAGUUCUGUCCUUAUUUUGGAAAGCUAAGGUAUGAAACAUUCAAACUUGUUUCAUAUUGUCUAGAAAAAAAAAUAUUUUAUAAUUCAUACACAUAAUUAUUUGUUUAUAUUGUUUAUGUGAGGAGUUUAUGGUCAUUGAUCAAUUUAAAUGGUUUCGGAAGAUUUAAUUUUGUACUUAUAACAUGUGUUCUAAUUGAAGGUCUAAAUCACAAUUUAAUAUAUUUCUCAAUAACAAUUUAAUUAUAAAAGAAGAAAAUAAAAAACAAAAUAAAUUAACUAUUAUAAAUAAGUAAUUAAAAUCAACUUAAAUAAAGAAGUUUGAUUUUUUUCCUAUUAUAAAUUAAGAAAUUGAUUUAAUCAUAAUAGGAUUUUUAUGUGUUUUAACGUUCUUUCUUGAUAAUUAGUAGUUAUGAACAUUCAUUAAAUCUAAUGUUUUGUUUGGAUUAGGAGUAAGAAAGUUGAUUCAAAAUAACUUUUUUAACUUAGACAACAACUAUGAACAAGUGAGGAGCAAAUUCGACACAUGAAUUCCCGGUUUCAAUCCUUUCAAGGUUUUAUGAUUCAAUAUCUACCACUUGAAGCAGUAGCAGCUUCACAACCUAUUUUUCAGCAGCCAAAUACCCCACAACCAAAUACUCAACAGAAUCAGAUGCAAGAUAAUGAUGAUGAGCAAAAAAUUCACCUGGUCAAGAUUAUAAUAAUUAUUAGCUUCUUAAAAUCUUUGUAAUGACUUGAAUUUCCUUUUGUUAGAUAUUUUUUUUUUGGUUUGAAUGAAAUACAUUUGGAUAUUUUGAAUAUUUGGAAAUAGUAUUGUAUUCUGUCAUACUUUUCAUUUUAUGGACAGAUCUAAAUGUUGAUGAAUAUUUGUCUUUGAAUUAAUUCUAUUGAAAACUGGAAUGGUUUUUGGUAUAUGCAGGUGUGAUUCCAGUGCUUUCAAAUAUAUAUAUAUAAAGAAUUAUAAUUACAUACGUAUAUAUUUGUAUGUAAACCUACACACAGUUACAUACGGAUCUAUCUGUAUGUAAACAUACAAAUUUAUCCGUGUGUAAAUCUGCACACAACCGCAACCAUAACCGCCUUCGCAUCUAACUUAUCACCCUUAGAGGUUUCCUUCUUAUGGUCAUGGUUUUGAUGUUGGUCAAUCCAGUCAUUCAGAUCUUCCAUAACCAUCCACAUCCAAAGAUCAUCUUCACCACCUCUCACUUCAUUCUCCACAUCAACAUAUUCUUUACACAUAUAAUUUUUUACCUUCUCCUUCGAGUAUUUUUUCCACUCUACCAAAUAUUUUUGGAACUUCAGUAUUUACCCUUUUUUCUGAAUAUAAUCCAACAUCAUCCAUGCACUAUCGACCCACAAUGCCCUCACCAGGAUGUCAUAAUGAAGUCAAUAACGACGAUGAUGAACAUAUCUAGUUAUAUGACAAUAACGACGAUGACGAACGCUGAUGAUUCUCUUCCACCUCCACCUUCAUCUGAUCAUCAUCCUCCACGAAGACCACAUUGUGACACGUUUCCCAUAAAUAAUUUACUUCCAAUAUUUUAACUUUUUUAUUUAUUUUAUAUCUUGUAAUGAAUUUUAUUAAUUUGUCUAGUUAUAAUUAAUCUCUUCUCAUCAUUACGUGUUCUAUAAAACCAUUAUUUCCCUAUGUAUUUAUUUUCCAAUCCAUAACAACAAUUUUCUAUUUAUUUUCAAAAUACAUUAACAAUUCUCAUUUCUCUAUUUGUUUUCAAAUGCAAUAAAAUUUUUCUUCAUAUUUUUAUUAAUCAAAUAACCAAAUUAAUAUAUUACAUUACCGUCAAACAUAUCCAUACAUGAUUACCUAAUUUUUUUGUCACUUAAAACUAACAUCCUUAGAAAAUUAUUUAUCAAAUUAAUUUGAAAUAUUACAUAUGUUUAUUGAUUAUUUUUAAUAAUAUAGUAAUUGAAGCAUCCUACAUAUGUUUGUCGACCACUCUUUCUGAUGAUCACGUAAAUUUGGACUCCAACCAAAUUACAACUGUAAUGGUCAAUUCCAUUAAAGCAAACCCAUCCAUCACUGUGAAAAGUUUAAUCGCAGAAAUUAAAAGUCGUUAUGGUUAUUCUGUAACAUAUAAAACAAGCAUGGAUGACAAAACAAAAGGCGCUUGCCAUGAAAUUCGACGAUUGGGAUGAAUCCUAUAAUCAUCUUCCAAGAUGGUUGCAGGUGGUUCAAGAAAGUGUCCCUGGGACAAUUUUCGAAUAUGUAACUCAGCCUUUUGUUAUAGGCGAUGUUCAAGACAACUCGUGUAACAUCUUCGAACGAGUAUUUUGGGCUUUCAAGCCUUGCAUUGAUGACUUUAAUUACUGCAAGCCAAUAUUCCAAGUUAAGGGAACAUUCUUGACCGGAAAAUACCAUGAAACUUUGCUACUGCAAUUGGUCAAGAUGGCAACCGAAACAUAUUCUCUCUAGCUUUUGCAAUAGUUGAAGGUGAAACAAAAGAAGCAUUGAUCUAGUUCUUCCGCCUGUUGCGAUCACAUGUCAUACCACAACAAAAUAUCUGCAUGAUAAUUGAUAGAGGAAAGGCCAUUUUAUCAGCAUUAAAAUCUCCAUAAGUAGCUUGGGAAGGACAUGGUCUCCUAUCAGUAUAUUGCAUACGCCACAUUACAUCUAAUUUCAAUAAGAAAUUCAAAAAUGCCGAGGCGAAGAGACAAUUAAUAAACACGAGUAUUUAUAUCAAUUUAAUUGACUUAUAUUGAUUAUUCUUGUUGCAACACAAUCACUUUAAAUAAUUUAAUUUUGUACAUUUCACAGGUUAUGAAAUAAAACAACCAAUUGUUCAGGUAAAGUUGUUGGCUCUAAGAUCACAAUUUCAACAAGCUUUUGCCUGGAUAGAUCAAAUACCUUCGAAAAAAUUGACACAAGCAUAUGACGGAGAGGUAUGACCACAUGACAACAAAUUUAGCUUAGUGCAUGAACUUUGUAUUAAAGGGAGCACGAUCGUUACCCAUAUGUGCUCUUGUGAAGACAACUUUUGAAAGAACCAAAUCUUAGUUUGUUGAACGAGGGACGAAAAUAGAGUGCAUGUUACAAGCUGACCAUCAAUAUCCAGAAAAUAUUACUGUCUUGUUACAGAAAAAUGAACAACAAUCGACUAUGUGUCAUGUCCAAAACUACAAUAAACAAAAUUCAGAGUUAAUCAUGCCUUAAAAUCUAUGAAAUAUAACCCUUCUUUAACUCAUUCCAUCAACUCGUUACACGAAUUUUAAGAAGCAAAUACACUCUCAUGUACAUUAUUUAGUUUAUAUAUAUUUUCACAAACCAUAACUACUCCAUUUUUUCCCUCUCUUUUCUUUUAUCCAUUGCUGUAAAAUUUAAAUCAUUUCAGUAUAAAAAAGUGUAUUUAAAUAUGAUUAGAGAAUAACAGGAACUGGUACGGUAUAUAAGUUUUCUGAAAAAAGAAAUUGAAGGUUUAAAAUAAUAAAACCAACAUUCUUACUUUGGCUUGGCACCAUGUAAUAUAUUUGAAAGAAAAGCAGUGAUAUCAGUUUCUGAUGAUCCCCCACUUGCAAUUGCACUGUGGCAUAACUGUUUCAACUCUCUGCUUCUUUUCCUCAUCACUUCAUCACCAUCAAAAUCCAUGAAUUUUCUUAUAAGAUUAGCAAUUUCAUUUUUUCUGAUCAAAGUGUCCUUUUUUACCUCCUUCUUCACCCUCCACCCCACCUUCCAUUCCUCCACUAAAAACUUACCAUUAAGGGGUUGGUCCAUAAAUAUAGGAAAUGCCAAAAAAGGAACACCACUGAAAACACCUUCUCUAGUAGAAUUCCAGCCACAAUGAGACCAAAACCCACCAAUUGCAGGAUGCUGCAACACCCUCAAUUGGUCACACCAUGGCAAAACUAGUCCUCUAUCCCCACACAGCUCUUUCAACCUACCAUUUUCUCUGGGUUGCACCCACAAGAACCGAACACCACUAUCACCCACACCAGCAGCAAUUUCAUCAAACUGUUCAUUGGAAACAGAAAGAAAGCUCCCUUGAGAAAUGUACAACACAGAGGCAGAGGGUUGGUUGUCAAGCCACUGAAAGUAGCCAUGUUUAGAGGCAUCAAUGUGGCCAUUGGCAAAACAAGGAAUGGCAGGGCCAACAGUGUAAAUAGGUAUAGAGAACUCUGCUUUCAAAGCAUCAAUGGCUUGAGGCUCAAGUUCAUAUAUGGUGGGGAAUAACAGAUAUUGCGCUUUCUGCACCCACGGUAUAACAUUCAAAGCCAAUUCCAACAAUCUUCGACUACGCCAACUUUCAUCACUGAGUGGAAAAUCUGCCAGACGAAUUGAUGAGUUCCCCGGAAUAUAAUCCACACGUUUCUCACCAUCUUCUGCAACAAAUAUCUUACUUUUUAAUUAUCACAUCAAGAACUGAUAUGUAGAAAUUGAGUGGAGAAAAAAGUAAAUCAACCUUAGAAUCUUGUAGAUAGAUACACAUGAUAUUAUAGUAUAGAACAAAUUUACACAAUUUUGAUAGAUAGAAUAUUAACACAAGGAGAAAAUUUGCGAGUUCCAUUGCAAGACAUAUAUAUAGAAAAAUUACCAUCUUAUAUACCACAACUCACAAAAUCUCUAUUCAAAUUCAUAAUCUGAAUGCUAAAAAAAGAUUUACAUCCCAAAAUUUAAACUUCAGACCGAUAAACAGUUCUGCUAUUUUUUCCUAGUUAAGAGAAUGUGAAGAGAUUCAACUAACAGACAAAUCAAGUGGAAAAAUUUAAUAAAGUAGUGUAAUUUUCCUUCAAUUUUACCGAAAUUAUUGGGUUUUAUGAGAUUCGUUUACUCUGUUUUUCUGUUUUAACAGAGCCUAUAUAUAACUUGUAUUCCUUUCACAUUAUAAUAUGAAUAUAAUACUUUUUCUUCCAUCUUAUCCUUUACCUUUUUUCUCUUUUCCACCGCAUAAUCUAAUGCGUCCACCGCACAAUCACAAUUCAAUACAUGUGUCAUCUCUCACACACAAUUAAGCAGCAAGAAAGAUCAUUGUGCUGCAUAAUGUGGGUCAUGGAGACCAUAUUCCAAUAUGGUAUCAGAGCGGGUUAAAGUCCCGCUCUGCUUCCGCUAUUUCUUUUGUUCUUGAUUCUGCUUCUUGUUUUUUUGUUUGUGAUUCGUGAUGGAAGCUAACACUAGCCGCAGUAAAGAUCCCAUCCAGAAUCAAGCAUUAGUCAAGGAAGAGGAAAAUUCAGGUAUCAAAACAAUGGUAAGCAGUGUACACAUUGUCACAGAUUGAAUCAUACCAUAGAUGAAUGUUAUUUCAAGUAUGGGUUUCCCCCUUGGUAUAAACAAAAAGGUGAAAAGAAUGAAAGAGUGACAAACAGUGUUGUGAUGGAUAAGAAUAUGAAAGUUGAAGAGGAGCAAGAAAAUAAGUCAGACGCAAAUAACGAGAAUCAGUUCACACAAGGUCAGAUAUAUCAAAUCAUGCAACUUAUCCAAGAAACAAAGAAAGAUUCGACGCAUAAGGUGAACAAUUUUGUGAAUGAUUCUUCAGAUGAGAACAUGCGAAAGGUAAGAACAAUGAAAAAUCUUGGGUUUUAGAUACAGGUGCCACAGAUCAUGUGAAUUAUUCUAUAAAUAAUUUUUUGACUUUUCCUAGAAUAAAUCCUAUUCGCAUUAGUUUGCCAAAUGGUUCACAUGUUGUUGCUUACGAUGGAGCAGUAGCAUUAUUUGAAAACUUUUUCCUAUAUAACAUAUUAUAUGUACCAGAAUUUGCUUUUAAUCUUGUUUCUGUGCAAAAACUGGUUAAAAAUCAUAACUGUAAACUCACUAUUACUUCUGAGUUUUGUCAGAUUCAAAAUGCGGAAUCAUUGAAGAUGAUUGGAUGUGCUAGGCUGAACAAAGGAUUAUAUCUUAUAAAUACAUCAAAGCAUGAAGUCACUAUCAAUACUGCAGGAAAUUUGAAUCAUCCAGAUCAAAGUGUUACAAAGAAUAUUUGGCAUCACAGGCUGGGACAUCCAUCUAAUAGAGUUUUACAGCAUAUGAGUAACAUUUUUCCUUAUAGUAGUUUCUAUGAAAAUAAACCGUGUGAUGUAUGUCAUUAUGCUAAGCAGCACAAACUUUCUUUCACUCAUAAUAGUACUCGUACUAAACACAUAUUUGAUAUGAUUCAUGUGGAUAAAUGGGGCCCUUUUGGGACUGCUUCUAUGCAUGGUCACAAGUUUUUUCUUACCAUAGUGGAUGAUCACAGUAGGUUCACUUGGGUUUAUCCUAUGAUAGCAAAAUCUGAAACUAGGGAUGCCUUAAGUAGAUUCAUUACUCUUAUAUAUAAUCAAUUUAAUACUGUCAUAAAGGCCAUCCAUUCUGAUAAUGGAAAUGAGUUUGCUUGUGCCACGUUGUAUGAAAGUUUGGGUAUCCUACAUCAAACUAGUUGUGUGGAAACACCACAACAAAACUCUGUUGUUGAGAGAAAACAUCAGCACAUUUUGAAUGUUACACGUAGUCUUUUAUUUCAGUCUAAUUUGCCUGUUGCUUUUUGGUCCUAUGCUGCGACUUAUGCCACACAUCUAAUAAACAGAAUACCUACUGAUGUUCUCGAGAUGCAAACUCCUUAUGAUUUGUUAUAUAAAGAACAACCCAAUCUUCAAAAUUUAAAGGUUUUUGGUUCUUUAUGUUUUGCUUCAAGUUUGCAAAGAAAUAGAUCUAAGCUAGAUCCGAGAGCAAGAAAAUGUAUUUUCCUUGGAUAUAAAACUGGUAUGAAGGGUUAUGUUGUGUUUAAUGUUCAUAAUAAGGAGAUUUUUGUGUCAAGAAAUGUAAACUUCUAUGAACCUGUUUUUCCCUAUACUGAAAAUAAUAAUUGUAACAAAGAAAAGGGUAAUCAGCAAAUUGAUGCUUUUGAUUUUAAUUUUGAACCUGUUGACACGAAUGAGAGUUGUCAUAUUGAUCAAACUGAGGAGAAUAUUACUGAAGAAAACAGCUUGCGAAGGUCUGAUAGACACAAAAGAUCUCCUAGCUAUCUCAAGGACUAUCAUUGCCAACUUUCUAGUCACAUUGACACCAAACGACUAAAUCAUUAUGGUAAAGUUCUUCAUUCCCUAUCUAUAUAUCUUGAUUAUGGCAAUCUAACUACUAAACACCUUAACUAUGUUUUAGCCAUAUCUUCUAAUGAAAAGAGCCGCAUAAUUACAAUGAAGCUAUACAAAAACUUGAAUGGUGUGAAGCCAUGGAAAAGAAAAUUAAAGCCUUGGAAGAAAAUGAAACAUGGAUUCUCACUGACCUUCCCCACGGCAAGCAACCCAUUGGAUGUAAGUGGGUGUACAAGAUAAAAUACAAUGCGAAAGGUGACAUAGAAAGGUACAAGGCAAGACUUGUCGCGAAAGGGUAUACGCGAAAGGGUAUACACAACUAGAAGGAAUAGAUUACUUGGACACUUUUUCUCCUGUGGUCAAACUUACAACUAUAAGAAUGUUGCUUGCCAUUGCUGCCACAGAGAAUUGGCACCUUAAACAACUAGAUGUGAACAAUGCGUUUCUGGAUGGGGAUCUAAAUGAGGAAGUCUACAUGCUUCCUCCACCUGGCAUCAAGGUUAAAACUGGACAGGUUUGCAAGCUAGUAAAAUCAUUAUAUGGUUUGAAACAAGCAAGACGACAAUGGUUUGCUAAGCUUACUUCAUCUCUUAACAAAAUUGGUUUCACUCAAUCUGUUAAUGAUCAUUCAUUAUUCAUAAGAAACUCUGAAAACAGUUUUACUAUAUUACUGGUAUAUGUGGAUGACAUUAUUCUUGCAGGAAAAUCUAUAUCAGACAUAGAACAAGUUACACGACACCUAGACAAAGUUUUUAAAGUAAAAGACUUGGGCGAUUUGAAGUUCUUUCUUGGUCUCGAGAUAGCCAAAUCUAAUAAGGGCAUUCAUGUUUCGCAAAGGAAAUAUGCUCUAGACAUCAUCAACGAUGUUGGUCUAAUUGUUGCUAAACCUUGUGCCACACCUAUGAUGAAGGAUACAAAGAACAUGUUUCGAGAAGGAAUUCCCAUAAAAGAUGUUACUGCUUAUCAAAGAAUCAUUGGGAGGCUAAUAUAUCUUACAAAUACCAGGCCCGACAUAAGCUAUUAUGUCCAGUUUCUAAGUCAAUUCCAGCGGGCACCAACUUCAGAACAUCACAGUGUUGCACACCAAGUUCUACGCUACAUUAAGGGAACUCCUGGACAAGGGCUUUUCUUCUCUGCCAGUUCUGAUCUCCAGCUUAAAGGUUUUUGUGAUUCAGAUUGGGCAAGCUGUCCACAAACUAGGUGAUCAACAACUGGUUUUUGUGUUUUUCUGGGCUAUUCGCCGAUUAGCUGGAAAUCCAAGAAACAGUCUACUGUGUCGUGAUCAUCAUCCGAAGCAGAAUAUCGUGCCCUCGCUACUUUAACCUGUGAGAUUCAGUGGCUGAAGUAUUUGAUCGAUGAGUUCAAGAUAAAGGUCCAGACUCCAGCUAUUGUCUAUUGUGAUAAUCAAUUCGCAAGGUAUAUAGCUCACAAUCCAAGCUUCCAUCAAAAACCGAAGCACAUAGAAAUAGAUUGCCAUGUCGUACGUGAAAAACUACAAUCCAAACUUUUCCAGCUGCUGCCAAUCUCCUCCAACCAUCAAACUGCUGAUGUUCUCACAAAACCACUUGAACGUGGUGAUUUUAUUUAUGCUAUUUCCAAGCUUGGGUUGAUCAACAUCUACCGCUAAGCUUGAGGGGAAUAUUGGGUUUUAUGAGAUUCGGUUACUCUGUUUUUCUGUUUUAAGAGAGCCUAUAUAUAACUUGUAUUCCUUUCACAUUAUAAUAUGAAUAUAAUACUUUUUCUUCCAUCUUAUCCUUUAUCCUUUUUCUCUUUUCCACCGCACAAUCACAAUUCAAUACAUGUGAAAUCUGUCACACACAAUUAAGCAGCAAGGAAGAUCAUUGUGCUGCAUAAUGUGGGUCAUGGAGACCAUAUUCCAAUAGAAAUGGACAAUUCCUAAAAGAAUUAGGAACAUUACCAACCUGGAUAAGUUGUGCUUGCAUGAGACAAUUUCAUUAUAAAGCAAGCAACUUCAUUAUAAAGAAGUCAUGUUACCUAAAGAAGACUUUCAAUCCCCCCAAUUGACCAACACGACGCAAAAGUGGUGUGACUCAUGCACAACUUUAAUCACAGUUAGAAUGAUGAAUACAAAGCUACUAAAUAUGACCCUCAAAGAAGACUUAGAAAACAAAGGAGAAGAUUACCUUGUGGUAGGUCUCUCAUAAAUAAAUUAUUUUCCUAAUGUAACAUUAUUAUGCUCAAAUUUAAUUUUAAUUUCCUUUCUUAUAUUAAUUUCCAUUCUUAACUUUCCUCUUAUUGUUUUUACCGUAAAAUUAUAAAUUGCUUUUUUUUUUCACUCUUCUACUAAAUAAUCAAACAUAAAGAAAUAUAUAAAUACAUAAAACUAAACUAUUUAAUUUCCAAGCUAACCCUAGUACUAUUUAAUUUCCAUGCAAAUCAUAACCAUAACAUAAUUAUACGAAAAUAAGCAUAUCAAGAUUUGGUCAUCUAAAACCUAAAGGAAAAGUUCAUAUUUUUGUAUCUAAAACUAUAAAAACCUAAAAAAAAACUAACACAAAAAAGUCGUGCAUGAUAAAAUGAUAUUUGUUAUUCUGAAGUAACAUAUGCUUGACUAAACAACUCAAACAAUUUUUAAAACAAACUUAAUGUAUCAUUUGUUGGGCUUCUCUAGUAAAAAGAAGUUGCCUCGAGCAACAUAUGUCCUUUUAACAAUUUACAAUUUUAUAUUCUGUUAAUUCAGACUUAAAUAUAAACUUAAUAAAAUAUUAUUUUUUAUUGUUAAGUUGCUCAAACAAAUUUUAAGAAACUCUACCAUACGCUAAGAUUGUAAAUUUAAAAAGAGUGUAAAUUUUCAACGAAAACUUCUAGAAUUAAAAAUGAAAAAAAUUCAAAUUGUUUACUGUUUUUAAUUCUUCUAAAAUGGGGGUGGAAAAAUUAAAAUCGAUUUUUCGGGAAUAGGAAAGGGCAGAUCCUCUUUCAUCAGCCAAACUGAUAAAAAAACAAUUCCAAGGGUGAAGAUGGUUCUAUUGGACCAACCCUAAUGAUUAUUAUAAUAAUUAAUAAAAAUAAUUAACUGGCUACAUUUAAUUCUUGUAGAGAGAUUGGUGAGUGAAGCUCUAGAACAGUCAUGGUAAUUUUCAAACAUGGUUUUGUGAGGGUAACUGACCUGAUACGUUUACAGGGUAGUGGCCGUUUCGCCGGAGAAGAUGGUAGUGUUUGAGCACGGCGAAAAACGACGCGGACAUGGGCCAAAACGACGCCACGGGAAUGUUUCUAGCGUUGGCGACGCGAACCACCCAGUAGAGGAAAGUGUCGUAUAUGAUUACUGUGGGUGGAAGGUGAAGACGGUUGAGGAAGUCUUCAAAGGGCGCCUCCAUUUUGGUCAUAACGGCUUCAAGGAAGGUGACGAAGUCCUUGGCUCGACCCUCUUCGGAUGGAAUAACGUUGGGGAUUGUGGCGAAUCGGAUGUUGUCGGGUUUGGUGUCGG